rnacentral:rRNA from 1 species
GAAGCCUGAUGCAGCGACGCCGCGUGAGGGAUGACGGCCUUCGGGUUGUAAACCUCUUUCAGUAGGGAAGAAGCGAGAGUGACGGUACCUGCAGAAGAAGCGCCGGCUAACUACGUGCCAGCAGCCGCGGUAAUACGUAGGGCGCAAGCGUUGUCCGGAAUUAUUGGGCGUAAAGAGCUYGUAGGCGGUUUGUCGCGUCUGCUGUGAAAGCCCGGGGCUCAACCCCGGGUCUGCAGUGGGUACGGGCAGACUAGAGUGCAGUAGGGGAGACUGGAAUUCCUGGUGUAGCGGUGAAAUGCGCAGAUAUCAGGAGGAACACCGAUGGCGAAGGCAGGUCUCUGGGCUGUUACUGACGCUGAGGAGCGAAAGCAUGGGGAGCGAACAGGAUUAGAUACCCUGGUAGUCCAUGCCGUAAACGUUGGGCACUAGGUGUGGGGGACAUUCCACGUUUUCCGCGCCGUAGCUAACGCAUUAAGUGCCCCGCCUGGGGAGUACGGCCGCAAGGCUAAAACUCAAAGGAAUUGACGGGGGCCCGCACAAGCGGCGGAGCAUGCGGAUUAAUUYGAUGCAACGCGAAGAACCUUACCAAGGCUUGACAUUCACCGGACCGCC